CAAUACCCACUUUACCAGAAAAAUAACUGGUUUUAUUGACUUAAAAACAAGAUGUGAAAAUGCCACAUUUAGAGAAACUUACUAAAAGACUUCAGUGCAUAAGCACAUCUUGGUUGAAGCAGGCAAGUAAUGACACUUUGAGAGAUGGAAUAAUUGGCAGGGUGGGGACUAGACACUGCAACAUUGUGAGGGCUGGACUCCUCAGUAGGGUGGGGGCUGGAUUCAUUCAGCUUCUUCCCAUCAACCUCAGUGGGCAAAUAUUCUGACUCAAGGGGGAGAGGGCUGGACUCCUCAGCGGGCAAAGCACCUGACUCUUUGAUGGGGAGAGUGCUGGGCUCUCCAACUGGGUGGGGGUUGGACUCAGCAGGCAGAGGGCUAAAUUCCCCAACUGGGAUAGCGCUGGACUCCUCAACAGGGUGAGAGCUGGACUCCGUGAGCUUCCCAUCAACCUCAGCGGACAAAGUGCCUGACUCCUUGAUGGGGAGAGUGCUGGGCUCUCCAACUGGGUGGGGGUUGGACUCAGCAGGCAGAGGGCUAAAUUCCCCAACUGGGAUGGGGCUGGACUCCCCAAUAGACUCCCCAACUGGGAGGGGGGUGGACUCCUUGGAAGGCAAAGGGGUGGACUCCUUGGAAGGCAAAGGGGUGGACUCCGGGAGCUUCCCAUCAACCUCAGCUGGGAGAGCACUGGACUCAGCUCGGAGAGCACUGGACUCAGCAACUGGCUGGGGGCUGGACUCAGCUCGGAGAACACUGGACUCAGCUGGGAGAGCACUGGACUCAGCAACUGGGAGGGGGCUGGACUCCUUGGAAGGCAGAGGGGUGGACUCAGUGAGGGAGAGCACUGGACUCAGCUGGGAGAGCACUGGAUUCUGCAACUGGUUGGGUGCUGGACUCCGUGAGCUUCCCAUCAACCUCAGUGGGCAAAGUGCCUGACUCCUUGAUGGGGAGAGUGCUGGGCUCUGCAACUGGGUGGGGGUUGGACUCAGCAGGCAGAGGGCUAGAUUCCCCAACUGGGAUAGCGCUGGACUCCUCAACAGGGUGAGAGCUGGACUCCGUGAGCUUCCCAUCAACCUCAGCGGACAAAGUGCCUGACUCCUUGAUGGGGAGAGUGCUGGGCUCUCCAACUGGGUGGGGGUUGGACUCAGCAGGCAGAGGGCUAGAUUCCCCAACUGGGAUAGCGCUGGACUCCUUGGCAGGCUGGGGGCUGGACUCUGCAACAGGGUGAGAGCUGGACUCCUCAGUGAGCAGAGGACUGGACUCCGCUGGGAGAGCACUGGACUCUGCAACUGGGAAGGGGCUGGACUCCUUGGAAGGCAAAGGGGUGGACUCAGUGAGCUUCCCAUCAACCUCAGCUGGGAGAGCACUGGACUCAGCUUGGAGAGCACUGGAUUCUGCAACUGGCUGGGGGCUGGACUCCCCAGCUGAGAUAGCACUGGACUCCUUGGCAGGCUGGGGGCUGGACUCUGCAACAGGAUGAGGGCUGGACUCCCCAGCUGAGAUAGUGCUAGACUCCUUAGCAGGCUGGGGGCUGGACUCAGUCAGUUUCCCAUUAACCUCAGUGGGCAAAGUGCCUGACUCCUCAAAGGGGAGAGUGGCUGACUCUGCAACUUGGUGGAGGCUGGACUCAGCAGGCAGAAAGCUGGACUCAUUGGUGGGCUGGGGGCUGGACUUUGCAGGCAGAGGGCAAAUUCUUCACAUCAAUGCCUAAAGAAAAUUGGUGCAAAACAUGUCAGAUAAGCUGCAAUUAGCUUUCCUCAUGGUCCAGUGUCAAUACAAAAGAUUACCCUUUUGGAUAAUUAGACCAGAUUCAUUCUUCAAAGACAGCAGAACAGCCAAGCUACACUUUGCUACCACUGGCUGGUUUGGAAUUUGGUUUGCACAGAGAGGGGACAAGGGGCCAUCUGGAAAACAAAAGGCAUGAACAAUAAUACACCGGACAAAUACUCA
rnacentral:lncRNA from 1 species